GCAAAGCAUGGCGGGUGUUCAAGCCUUCGGUGAUCCAGACUCCUCACAAGGAGACUUGGUUAUUGAUUGCUUGUUCUGAGAUCAUACCGUUUAAACUUGAUCUGGAUAAUUCCAGCGCGAAGGACUACUGCUGCUUCCUGAUG
rnacentral:ncRNA from 1 species